rnacentral:rRNA from 1 species
GUAACACGUGUGCAACCAACCCCGUACAGGGAGAUAACCCGCGGAAACGUGGACUAACACCCCAUAAUACCUUUCCCCCGCAUGGGGGGGAGUUUAAAACCCCGGUGGUACGGGACGGGCACGCGCGACAUUAGGUAGUUGGCGGGGUAACGGCCCACCAAGCCGACGAUGUCUAGGGGUUCUGAGAGGAAGGUCCCCCACACUGGAACUGAGACACGGUCCAGACUCCUACGGGAGGCAGCAGUGAGGAAUAUUGGUCAAUGGGCGAGAGCCUGAACCAGCCAAGUCGCGUGAGGGAAGAAUGGUCUAUGGCCUGUAAACCUCUUUUGUCAAGGAAGAACAUGUAGUACGUGUACUACCCUGCCAGUACUUGACGAAUAAGCAUCGGCUAACUCCGUGCCAGCAGCCGCGGUAAUACGGGGGAUGCGAGCGUUAUCCGGAUUUAUUGGGUUUAAAGGGCGCGUAGGCGGGACGUCAAGUCAGCGGUAAAAGACUGCAGCUAAACUGUAGCACGCCGUUGAAACUGUCGACCUGGAGACGAGACGAGGGAGGCGGAACAAGUGAAGUAGCGGUGAAAUGCAUAGAUAUCACUUGGAACCCCGAUAGCGAAGGCAGCUUCCCAGGCUCGAUCUGACGCUGAUGCGCGAGAGCGUGGGUAGCGAACAGGAUUAGAUACCCUGGUAGUCCACGCCGUAAACGAUGCUCACUGGAUCUUGGCGAUACACGGCCAGGGUUCAAGCGAAAGUAUUAAGUGAGCCACCUGGGGAGUACGUCGGCAACGAUGAAACUCAAAGGAAUUGACGGGGGCCCGCACAAGCGGAGGAACAUGUGGUUUAAUUCGAUGAUACGCGAGGAACCUUACCCGGGUUUAAAUGCAGGUUGCAUGAGGUGGAAACACCUCUUUCCCUCGGGACUACCUGCAAGGUGCUGCAUGGUUGUCGUCAGCUCGUGCCGUGAGGUGUCGGGUUAAGUCCCAUAACGAGCGCAACCCCUAUCGCCAGUUGCCAUCGGUUUCGGCCGGGCACUCUGUCGAGACUGCCACCGUAAGGUGCGAGGAAGGCGGGGAUGACGUCAAAUCAGCACGGCCCUUACACCCGGGGCGACACACGUGUUACAAUGGCCGGUACAGAGGGCAGCCACGGGGCGACCCGGAGCGAAUCUCUAAAGCCGGUCGUAGUUCGGACUGGAGUCUGCAACCCGACUCCACGAAGUUGGAUUCGCUAGUAAUCGCGCAUCA